UACGUCGUCAGUUCAAUCGCGACGUGUCAGGAACGCAUUCUCUGAAUGGCCGAACUUAUAGUAGUUAAACCGUGGAAAACGACUAGUUAUACAUAAAUGAGACUUAUUUUUAAUAUUAGACCGUAUUCAUUUGAAAUGGAAUAUGUAUAGUGCCGGCAGUAGGCAUAUUCUCUGUUGGGCAGCUGCCUAAUGAUCCUUAUGCACCAAAGUCUUGCAACGUGAUAAUCGUUUAUACAAAAUAAAUGUAUUCAGACAGUGCUGAAACAAAGACAAAGCCUUCAUUGUACAAGGGUAGUGUACAUUAUUAUUUCUAGUUGUAAGGGUUGGUUACAACCUCAUUUGAACGAUUGAGUCAGCAAUCGAGGACAUCAUUACAAAUUUAUAACGUGCCAUAUUAUUAUAUAAAUUGUAAGAGUUGCAUUUUGUAUGAGUUUGUUAGGUAUAUAACGUGACUAUGGGGAAGUCAUGUAUUAAUUUCUACCAACUACAUAGGCAGUAAAUGGAUUUUUUAAUAAACGAUUUACAAAACA